rnacentral:rRNA from 1 species
UGGGGAAUAUUGGACAAUGGGCGAAAGCCUGAUCCAGCCAUGCCGCAUGAGUGAAGAAGGCCUUUGGGUUGUAAAGCUCUUUUAGUGAGGAAGAUAAUGACGGUACUCACAGAAGAAGUCCUGGCUAACUCCGUGCCAGCAGCCGCGGUAAUACGGAGAGGGCUAGCGUUAUUCGGCAUUAUUGGGCGUAAAGGGCGCGUAGGCUGGUUAAUAAGUUAAAAGUGAAAUCCCGAGGCUUAACCUUGGAAUUGCUUUUAAAACUAUUAAUCUAGAGAUUGAAAGAGGAUAGAGGAAUUCCUGAUGUAGAGGUAAAAUUCGUAAAUAUUAGGAGGAACACCAGUGGCGAAGGCGUCUAUCUGGUUCAAAUCUGACGCUGAAGCGCGAAGGCGUGGGGAGCAAACA